UGGGAAAGGGUGAGACAUGGCACAGGUGUCUUGAAGACCUUUAGAUUUGUCUCCUAUUUUGCGCUCUAUCAAAGGGAUAUACCACAUGUCACCACAGCUCAGUUAGCACUGCUUUAAACUGCAUGUUGGGAUUUUAAAACAGCCUUAAGAAAGGUAAACGAAAGCAGCAGACAAUGAAGAACUAGACAGCCACUCUCUCCCUACACUGACUUAUCUCUCGCCUCUGAUGGAUUUGUUCUGAGACAGAACACUACUCCCAGUGGACUACAGCCAUUUGAUUAAAUAUUUUGU